rnacentral:rRNA from 1 species
UACAGAGACUGCAAGCGUUAUUCGGAUUCACUGGGCGUAAAGGGUGCGCAGGCGGCCGUGUGUGUCAGGUGUGAAAGCCCGGGGCUUAACCCCGGAAUUGCGCCUGAAACUACAUGGCUAGAGCAUUGGAGAGGGUAGCGGAAUUCACGGUGUAGCAGUGAAAUGCGCAGAUAUCGUGAGGAACACCAGAGGCGAAGGCGGCUACCUGGACAAUUGCUGACGCUCAGGCACGAAAGCGUGGGGAGCAAACGGG